UCACCGGUGUGUGAUUUCUGCUGUAUCAGAGACAAUAUGGCAGACCACCGCCGCCUACGUCCUGUAGCGCUGCGACGGAGGCCGCCGAGGGACAAACCGCCGCGCGAUUGCCGACCACCAGCUAGCGCCUCGUAGGUGGAAAAGGGCGGCCCACAGGACACAUCCUGGUCAAAGAGAACUGCAGGAUUCUUUACGUUGCUGCUGGAUACCAGAGGAAUUCCAUCCAGAGGAACUAGAGUGACUUCAAAGGCCUUCUGGGCCCAAUGAAAUAACCUCUGUUUUGUCUGAGUUUAACAUCGGGAAGUUGCAGGUCAUCCAGGUUUUGAUGUCCUUAACACAUGGUCUCAUCAGGCUUGAUCUAUCGAUACAAUUGAUUGUCUGCAUAACAAUUUUUUUCUGAGGGUUUUUCCUGAUAAUAUUGCCUAAAGGAAGCAUUUAUGAGGUAAAUAAAAUCGAUCCAAGCACUGAA